UACGUAGGGACCAAGCGUUGUUCGGAUUUACUGGGCGUAAAGGGCGCGUAGGCGGCAAUUCAAGUCAUCUGUGAAAUCUCCGGGCUUAACUCGGAACGGUCAGAUGAUACUGCUUUGCUAGAGUGCGGAAGGGGCAAUCGGAAUUCUCGGUGUAGCGGUGAAAUGCGUAGAUAUCGAGAGGAACACCAGAGGUGAAGACGGGUUGCUGGGCCGACACGUGACGCUGAAGCGCGAAAGCCAGGGGAGGCAAACGGG
rnacentral:rRNA from 1 species